CUCUGUCUAGUGACGGUUAACAGUCAGGAUUCAGGAUUGCCAAGUUGAAGCUUCAAAAUGACGUACGACAUGAACCUUCCCAGAAUCCCCUCAGUCGGGAAUCGCGAAACCCGGAUCGUGGUCAACUGUGUGUUUACUGUUGGAAUAGUCUUGGGAAACCUGCUGGUGCUGUUUUUGGUCGUGAAUUCCAAGAAGCUGCGAAGAUCGUCCAAGUACAUCCUAGUCGCAAGCCUCGCUUUCGCCGACAUAUCAGAUGGAGGCUUUUUCCUGCCAAUGUGGACGGACAUCUUGAUUGACCAGAAAAUCAACUACAGCUGUUUGGCGCGCUAUCUUUCUGGGGCCUGUGGCUACAGCACUGCUACAGUCUGUAGCCUUUCUGUAGUAGCACUCAAUACAGACUUUACGUUUAGUAGGGGGGUCUGUCAGUACCGAGGGUGGUUACGAGGAGUCAUUACGAGCAUCCUCCUCAUGCUUUGUUGGAUCGGGCCGUGUGUGACGUUGGGGCCGUUAGUUGCCAUGGGGAUGAGAAACUCGGACCCAGUCCACUGUUUCUUUACCUUAGAUGAAAAUUCCACAUUUUUUAUGUAUCUGGCUUUUUUCAUUCCGUCUGGAGCCAUAAUUAUUUCGUCCGGAUUUGUGAUAUUUGUACACGUUAAGACGAAAGAGGGAGGCAACUCCUCGAACACGGAUUUUCCUUACGAUAUCUUCGUUACGGCGUGCCUGACGUUGGUUUUUUAUCUUCCCUUUGCUGUUCUACAGAUGAAUACCUACCACUGUCAGCCCGAUCAGUGCUAUAUGUAUUAUAUUUCAAGAUUUAUUGUUACUGGAAAUCUUGUGUAUGCGAAGUCGGCCAUACUUCCAUGGAUCUGGCUGUGUAGUAAACGUUUUCGGGACGAGGUCAAGGACAUUUUCUGUGACGUGUCAAGCUGAAAUAAUAAUGGCUUUGACACCGGUGAUCACUAAUUUUAUUCAUGGUGAAAUUAUAUUCAUGCUAUGU